UACGUAGGCAGCGAGCGUUGUUCGGAAUUACUGGGCGUAAAGAGUGUGUAGGCGGUGCUCUAAGUUCGGUGUGAAAUCUCCUGGCUUAACUGGGAGGGUGCGCCGGAAACUGGAGUGCUCGAACGUGGGAGAGGAAAGCGGAAUUCCUGGUGUAGCGGUGAAAUGCGUAGAUAUCUGGAGGAACACCGGUGGCGAAGGCGGCAUCCUGGACCAACACUGACGCUGAGGAGCGAAAGCCAGGGGAGCAAACGGG
rnacentral:rRNA from 1 species